UGGUACAGUCAUGGCUCAGGAUGAGCUGUCAUAUCCAGUCCUCUCUCUUGCCUUCAUUAAAGCCCUCGGUGACUUCAGAAGCCCAGUACCUGCAAGCUAUUUGGCAUAUGAAGGUCCUGACCUGAGAAAACCAUCUUGGAUAACCAUGGCAAGGAGAAGGAAAAAUGCAACACCUAGGAGAUCUCAGUAAACAGUAGAAUCAUGCCAACCUAAUCUGUGUUAAAAUGCUCGGAAUGUGGGAGCCGCUGAUGAUGCCUGUUGUCUGUGUGUCUGACUGAGUCCUUUCUUUUCGCAGAACAGCAAAGCAAAGCCUGGGAACCAGGCCAAACGCCUGCCACUUACCUUAAAUUGAUCAGCCACUUUGAGAUUAAAACCCCUGAAAGCUGCCACACCGUGAAAACAAGGCCUCCUUCACAUUAAAGGCAAAUUGUGACUUUG